UCUGAUCUCAAAUCAGG
rnacentral:rRNA from 2 species